AACCAGCGUGGAAGCGGAGAACCCAGCUUGCAGGUGGGGCCAGGCUGGCACUUGUGAAGUGAGCCGCUCGUGGUGGCAGCUGCAGGGUCCUCAGGUCCCCUGUAAUGAGGACCUCAUGACAGCGUGCUGAGGUGUCUGGGUCUGAGGAACAGGUGACACAGCCUGGCCUCUCCCGGCCACUCCACACCCUGGCCAGCUGGCUGGCCUUGCCGCCGUGCACGUACCACUUGACAGGCAGGGGUCUCAUUCGGCGCGCCCCUGUCCCCACCCUCACCCCCCUCGGAUGCCCGCUCCUGGGAAUGCCCAUCCUGCCGGGUACCUGCUUGGUUCUGGCCACACCCUGCUCCUUCUGGCGUGAGCUCCACGCUCCUGGGGCUCCCGGCUCGUGGCCACUGUCGGGUCCGCCCCAGGAGCCGUGCCAGGAGUAAACCCAUGUCAUCCUGCGCCCCAGGCAGGGAGGGAUCUGCUGUGCUCAGAAGGAGGUUUUCGCCUGAGGAGAUACCAACCGCCCUGUGGAACCCCCAACCGCCGCCUAGAAAGGGCCAUCCUGGGCGCUAGCAGAUACCCAGCCUCCGGGCUCUGGAGCCCUCUGGAGGGAGAGCGGGCAGAGGAAGAGCAGCCCUCUUGGGACCUCAAGUCCUUCUCCAGCAGAAGACUGACAGCAGGGCCCCUGGGGCAGGAGGAGCCCGGCCACGCCCGCAGGGUGCCCCCACCUGCCCUCACCGUGAGCUCGGCCUCGCCCUUCCCUAACUCGGCGCCCAGCAGCACCACCUGCCGAGAAGGGCCCUGAACACAGCAAGUGUGGCCCCUGGAACUGUCUCAGGAGGCCCUGGCUGGUGCCUCAAAGAUGCCACCAGCAGGAGCAGGCCCUCUCCUAGCUGCAGGCCCAGCAGCACCCUCUGCAUCAGGACCGGCGCCCCAAGCGCAGGACCCCACACACAAGGCCCACCCAUCCCUAGACUGCUGUGCAAACCAGGCCGACUCGAGAAGGGUCUGCCUCUUCCUUCACACCGUUUCCUAAAUCUCCCAGCAUCCCUGAAGAAGGAGGGUGCUGAGUGCCCCUGGCGAAGCUUCCAGAAAGGGUGGAGAAAGUGGUGCCGAAAGGACGGCCCCCCAGGUUGUCAGAGGCUCAGUGGGAACACCCGCCGUCACGUCCUUCCCGAGGUGAGUGGUCACAGCAAGGGAGGACCCAGCGGCCACGACACCGGCGACCAGCAUUCUCCCCACGCGAGACACGGGACCCCCGGCCCGGAGGGCCCUCCCUCCCAGGCAGGCGCUCUGCUCCACGGCUCUGGGUCCCAGCGGCACAGCCCGUCCGGGUGCCGACGUGAGACGUCUGGGCAGGACGGGCUCUGCGUGGCUCUGCCCAGGGCCUCUGCAAAGCCCCUCAGGUGACCCCACGUGGGGGCCAGAGCUAAGCACCCCGACGUGGACCAGCUUCGACAGAGCAGCUGGCCCCCAUCCACGUGGACAAGGAAGGGCACAGGUUUCUCUGGGGGAGGGGCGCUGCGGCGCCCACAUGGACGCCCACGUGUCCUGCCCUGGCCGUGACCCCCGUGCGGGACCUACGUUCCUUCUCCAGAAGAGGAUCCUGAGCAGGAUGAGCUGCCAGUGACUGGGAGUCACUCGUGCUUUGUGUCAACAGCUUCUCAGGUUUGUGGUGGGGACAGCGGAGGGGGCGGCGGCUGAAGAAUCCCCACCCUCCCUUCCUCUGGCCUCCUCUGGCCUCCGGGCACAUCCAGGUCCAUCACCGGGCCUCUCCUCAGCCCCACCCCCGGCUCCCAGGUCUCAGGGCAGCAGGAGGCCCCCCUCCCCCGCCCUGCACACACACACACACACGCGUGUUGCUACGUGUGUCUGGCGCUCUUCCCUGAGCUGCAGGCGUGUCCAGGGGGCUUGUGCACUCACAGUGUCUGUGGCGGCUCUCCUGCGUGUCCCACGUGGAAAUAAACUGAUCGGCGAAUAAUGAAGCUUCAAGGAGCAUCAGGGUUACAGUUAUCUAUCUGCUCUGAGUAUCUGGGACCGAAAAAUUACUGUUGGCUUUGAACGCUGAGUGGUAUUUUCUAUUGAAGAAAAAUUAAGGAUCUAUUUUAACAAAUAUCCAGAGACCGAAAGAGGUCAGAUCAUCAAACCAGCCCCUCGACCGAUGCCAAAGGGCUGGGCAAAGUGUAAGCCGUGAGCCGUUCACCCCGGGGCUCCAGAAAACGGUGCCCACACUUACGACACCAAGGUGGCGAGUGUCUGUCUCCAGGAUGCCAGAGUUGGUCACAACCCGUCAUCUUGUUGCAAGAUUAUUUCUUGGUCUUGGACUUCAAAUUACCUGACUCCUUCUUCUUUUAUCAAAGAAGUAAAAGAACUAUAAAAAGAAGGACUCUAGCGAUCUCUAUAAAUUACAAAGCCACAACGCAGUAUCUGUGAAACAAGUUGUCUACAAACAGGAGGGUUAAAAAAAUAUUUCAGUGAAACACAUACACGUGUCUUUGUGUGUAAAUGGUGGAACUAUGAGGAAAGUAUCUUAGUUUAAGGAAGUUUAUUGUUAGGUUUUUGUAGUAAUAGAUGAGGCACAACUAUCUCCUGCUUCUCCAACAUCUCAAUAAAAAAGACAAUAAUCAGGAGUAACAGUGAAAUUAAAAAAUACAAAAGCCUAAGGUUUUGGACAGAAAAAUGACUAUAAACUACGUGCAGAAAAACUGUAAAUGGUUUUAGUUUAGCCUUGCAAAGAGUGACCUUCUUCUCUAUGACAAAUCAGGCCUUGCGAAGCUGCCUGCUCGGCUCGCAGUGGAGGGGCGGGGGCCCAGGCCCUCAGGCGUCCCACCCGCGUCCCGGCCCCUCAACAGCCGCGGCCUCCCCUCCCGGGGCGCGUCUGGGUCUGCAAGGGGACCAGCGCACGUGUCAGGCUGCUUCACUGACCAGGCUGAGCCCAACUGGUGGGAGAGCCGUUCCAACACCUCCGCCGGUUGCACGGAUGGCGAGGGCAGAGCCACGGAGACGGUUCCCAGCUGGUGAGGGAGCCGGAGGCCCCCGAGGCCCCCGGGAGCCCCGGGGCCCAGCCGGCAGGGAGAGCGCAGCUGCAGGCCCAGGGCAGGCCCUCGGCCCUGCCCCGACGGAGCCCAAGUGCGUUCUUUUCCCCUUAAACCAGGGUCACUGGCCCUGAACCUGGAGCACGUCCUUUCGGUUUAUGAAGAGCCACAGGAAGCAGGACAAAAACAGCAACUUUUCUCCAGCCAAAAAAAGAGCCGAAACUCCAGCAAACGCCGACAGGAAGCCUCGAGCACGAGAAAGGAUUUCGUGCUGUCCCCUCGUUCAAACGCUGUGAUAACAGGAUGACUCAGAAGCAGGCCUCUUCCUCCCCUUCCUGCGGGCCAGCCUCCGAGGCCGCUGCUUAUCUGCCGGAUGAAAGCGAGCAGGACAGGCCCCAGGACACAGGACGGAACAGCGUGGCCUGGGGAUGGUUCUUCAACCACAGGAACAUUCUGGUGCCACUUACAGGGGAAGUGUUUUCUCGUUCACUUGCUCAGAAAAGUCCUCGACAGGCCACACAGAUUGUAGCAGAGGAACACCCAGAGGAGGCCAGUCUG
ensembl:lncRNA